CCCCCCGAGGCUCCGGCAUGUAUUUGGUGCCGUUUCCCGUCCGGCGCGAAGCGAGGUCAGUGCUGAGGGGAGGUCACGUGACCUCAGUUUUGGGGGUGUUUUGCGGCGGUUUGGGGGAUUUUUUGGGGAGUGUUUGACCUCCCUAAAGCCCCAGCCAUGACCCCCCAAUGUUCCCCCCGGAUCUGAAGCUCUGGAACCUCCGGAUCCUCCCGAACCUCCGGAUCCUCCUCUGGAUCCUCCGUCCCCACUCCGGGAUCAAGGGCCUAGAGCAACCCCCCUCCAUCCCCCCACACCCAGGAAUUCCUGUCGGAUCCCGACUCUGUCAGUGACUUUGAGACCACUUUGCCCGCCCAGAAAAAAUGUGGACGCCCCCGGAGGUCCAACCAAGGGCCAACCCCGAAAUGCUCCCGGUGUUCUGAUGGGAUUGAGACGAACCCGGAGGAGAAUUCCCUUUUCCAGGCUGUUUUGUUGGGAAAAGCAGUGGUGGAGAUGUUGGUGGACGAGUGGCUGGAAUUGUACAAAUGGGAUUGGGAAUCGGGAUUGUUGGAGCUGCUCAACUUCAUCGUCAGGGCUUGUGGGUGCAGAGUUGUGGUGACCCCGGAGAUGUUCCGGGAGCUGCAGAAUUCCCAGAUCAUCCAACAACUCAUGGAGAAGUUCAAGGAGAUGC